rnacentral:rRNA from 1 species
GGAAGCAGGGGAUCGUAAGACCUUAUGCUUUUGGAGUGGCCGAUGUCUGAUUAGCUAGUUGGUGGGGUAAGGGCCUACCAAGGCGACGAUCAGUAGUUGGUCUGAGAGGACGGCCAGCCACACUGGGACUGAGACACGGCCCAGACUCCUACGGGAGGCAGCAGUGGGGAAUUUUGGACAAUGGGCGAAAGCCUGAUCCAGCAAUGCCGCGUGAGUGAAGAAGGCCUUCGGGUUGUAAAGCUCUUUCGGCCGGAACGAAAUCGGGCGCGUGAAUAACGCGCCUGGAUGACGGUACUGGAAGAAGAAGCACCGGCUAACUACGUGCCAGCAGCCGCGGUAAUACGUAGGGUGCGAGCGUUAAUCGGAAUUACUGGGCGUAAAGCGUGCGUAGGCGGUUUCGCAAGUCAGAUGUGAAAUCCCCGGGCUUAACCUGGGAACUGCGUUUGAAACUACAAGGCUAGA